rnacentral:rRNA from 1 species
UGAUUUACAUUUGAGUGAGUGGCGAACUGGUGAGUAACACGUGGGAAACCUGCCCAGAAGCGGGGGAUAACACCUGGAAACAGAUGCUAAUACCGCAUAACAACUUGGACCGCAUGGUCCGAGUUUGAAAGAUGGCUUCGGCUAUCACUUUUGGAUGGUCCCGCGGCGUAUUAGCUAGAUGGUGGGUAACGGCUCACCAUGGCAAUGAUACGUAGCCGACCUGAGAGGGUAAUCGGCCACAUUGGGACUGAGACACGGCCCAAACUCCUACGGGAGGCAGCAGUAGGGAAUCUUCCACAAUGGACGAAAGUCUGAUGGAGCAACGCCGCGUGAGUGAAGAAGGGUUUCGGCUCGUAAAACUCUGUUGUUAAAGAAGAACAUAUCUGAGAGUAACUGUUCAGGUAUUGACGGUAUUUAACCAGAAAGCCACGGCUAACUACGUGCCAGCAGCCGCGGUAAUACGUAGGUGGCAAGCGUUGUCCGGAUUUAUUGGGCGUAAAGCGAGCGCAGGCGGUUUUUUAAGUCUGAUGUGAAAGCCUUCGGCUCAACCGAAGAAGUGCAUCGGAAACUGGGAAACUUGAGUGCAGAAGAGGACAGUGGAACUCCAUGUGUAGCGGUGAAAUGCGUAGAUAUAUGGAAGAACACCAGUGGCGAAGGCGGCUGUCUGGUCUGUAACUGACGCUGAGGCUCGAAAGUAUGGGUAGCAAACAGGA